rnacentral:rRNA from 1 species
UACGGGGGAGCAAGCGGUUGUUCGGAUUUACUGGGCGUAAAGGGCGCAGUAGGCGGCGUGGUAAGUCACUUGUGAAAUCUCCGGGCUUAACUCGGAACGGUCAAGUGAUACUGCUGUGCUAGAGUGCGGAAGGGGCAACUGGAAUUCUCGGUGUAGGCGGUGAAAAUGCGUAGAUAUCGAGAGGAACACCUGCGGCGAAGGCGGGUUGCUGGGCCGACACUGACGCUGAAGCGCGAAAGCUAGGGGAGCGAACGGG